AAAAACGAUAGGUUCCACCGAGAUUUGAACUUGGAUCGCAGGAUUCAAAGUCCUGAGUGCUAACCGCUACACCAUGGAACCA
ensembl:ncRNA F47E1.12 ncRNA